rnacentral:rRNA from 1 species
UUAUCCCCCACACUGGUACUGAGACACGGACCAGACUCCUACGGGAGGCAGCAGUGAGGAAUAUUGGUCAAUGGAGGCAACUCUGAUCCAGCCAUGCCGCGUGUAGGAAGACUGCCCUAUGGUUGUAAACUACUUUUAUACGGGAAGAAAAGUUGUACGUGUACAACCUUGACGGUACUGUAAGAAUAAGCACCGGCUAACUCCGUGCCAGCAGCCGCGGUAAUACGGAGGGUGCAAGCGUUAUCCGGAAUCAUUGGGUCUAAAGGGUCCGCAGCGGGCAUAUAAGUCAGAGGUGAAAUGCUGCGGCUCAACUGUAGCACUGCCUUUGAUACUGUAGGUCUUGAGUCAUACGGAAGUAGGUAGAAUAUGUAGUGUAGCGGUGAAAUGCUUAGAUAUUACUUAGAAUACCGAUUGCGAA